rnacentral:rRNA from 1 species
UAUUGCGCAAUGGGCGCAAGCCUGAUGCAGCCAUGCCGCGUGUAUGAAGAAGGCCUUCGGGUUGUAAAGUACUUUCAGUUGUGAGGAAGGGUGUGUAGUUAAUAGCUGCACAUCCUGACGUUAGCAACAGAAGAAGCACCGGCUAACUCCGUGCCGGCAGCCGCGGUAAUACGGAGGGUGCGAGCGUUAAUCGGAAUUACUGGGCGUAAAGCGCAUGCAGGUGGUUCAUUAAGUCAGAUGUGAAAGCCCGGGGCUCAACCUCGGAACUGCAUUUGAAACUGGUGAACUAGAGUACUGUAGAGGGGGGUAGAAUUUCAGGUGUAGCGGUGAAAUGCGUAGAGAUUUGAAGGAAUACCAGUGGCGAAGGCGGCCCCCUGGACAGAUACUGACACUCAGAUCGAGA